rnacentral:rRNA from 1 species
GAUGAACGCUGGCGGCGUGCCUAAUACAUGCAAGUCGAGCGAACGGACGAGAAGCUUGCUUCUCUGAUGUUAGCGGCGGACGGGUGAGUAACACGUGGAUAACCUACCUAUAAGACUGGGAUAACUUCGGGAAACCGGAGCUAAUACCGGAUAAUAUUUUGAACCGCAUGGUUCAAAAGUGAAAGACGGUCUUGCUGUCACUUAUAGAUGGAUCCGCGCUGCAUUAGCUAGUUGGUAAGGUAACGGCUUACCAAGGCAACGAUGCAUAGCCGACCUGAGAGGGUGAUCGGGCACACUGGAACUGAGACACGGUCCAGACUCCUACGGGAGGCAGCAGUAGGGAAGCUUCCGCAAUGGGCGAAAGCCUGACGGAGCAACGCCGCGUGAGUGAUGAAGGUCUUCGGAUCGUAAAACUCUGUUAUUAGGGAAGAACAUAUGUGUAAGUAACUGUGCACAUCUUGACGGUACCUAAUCAGAAAGCCACGGCUAACUACGUG